rnacentral:rRNA from 1 species
UACGGAGGGGGCGAGCGUUGUCCGAAGUUACUGGGCGUAAAGCGCGCGUAGGCGGGUUGCUAAGUCCGCUGUGAAAGCCCGAGGCUCAACCUCGGAGGGUCGGUGGAUACUGGCAGCCUUGAAGGUGGUAGGGGGAGAUGGAAUUACCGGUGUAGCGGUGAAAUGCGUAGAGAUCGGUAGGAACACCAGUGGCGAAGGCGGUCUCCUGGCCCAGCACUGACACUGAGGCACGAAAGCGUGGGGAGCAAACAGG